rnacentral:sRNA from 1 species
AAUUUGAACAUUUCAUUUCAGGAUUUGGGGGAUCCUUACCAAGUUGAAGAUUUUAACAGAAUUCUUAGAAGACUAAUUCGAGUUGAAACCCUCUGGGAUUGCUAAAGAACCCUUUUUACAGGGAACUGCUAUUUGCUUCAGCAGGCAGAAUGGGUAGGUGGAGUGAGCUUUGGUGGCGAUGAGAGGGGCCAACAGAGGUCCUCAGGAGUGAAUUAGAUGAAGGAAAUUGAGCAUCCACAAAAAGGAAGGAGUAUUCUCCUGUUUGCCAAACUUAAAAAUGCUGGAUGGAAUCUUGAAGCUACCAGAAGAUUGCUCAUCACCAGAAACCAAUAUUUUUUCAAAAAUAUGCCUAGUAUCCUAAUGCAGUCUGUAUAGAAAGAAAGCAAUCAUCAUUGUUGCUAAAAGCUAAUAAACACAGGAAAUGCAUGAUUAAA